rnacentral:rRNA from 1 species
UACGUAGGGGGCAAGCGUUGUCCGGAAUCAUUGGGCGUAAAGCGCACGUAGGCGGCUUCUUAAGUCAGGGGUGAAAUCCUGGAGCUCAACUCCAGAACUGCCUUUGAUACUGGGAGGCUCGAGUCCGGAAGAGGUGAGUGGAACUGCGAGUGUAGAGGUGAAAUUCGUAGAUAUUCGCAAGAACACCAGUGGCGAAGGCGGCUCACUGGUCCGGUACUGACGCUGAGGUGCGAAAGCGUGGGGAGCAAACAGG